rnacentral:rRNA from 1 species
CCUACGGGUGGCUGCAGUGAGGAAUAUUGGUCAACGGACGCAAGUCUGAACCAGCAAUGCCGCGUGCAGGAAGACGGCUCUAUGAGUUGUAAACUGCUUUUGUACGAGGGAAAACACAGCUAUACGCAUUUGUCUAAAAGUAUCUUACGAAUAAGGAUCGGCUAACUCCGUGCCAGCAGCCGCGGUAAUACGGAGGAUUCAAGCGUUAUCCGGAUUUAUUGGGUUUAAAGGGUGCGUAGGCGGUCGGAUAAGUUAGAAGUGAAAGCCCGAGGCUCAACUUCGGAAUUGCUUCUGAUACUGUUCGGCUAGAGAGUAGUAGCGGUAGGCGGAAUGUAUGGUGUAGCGGUGAAAUGCUUAGAGAUCAGGCAGAACACCGAUUGCGAAGGCAGAUUACCAAGCUACUUCUGACGUUGAGGCACGAAAGCGUGGGGAGCAAACAGGAUUAGAUACCCUAGUAGUC